rnacentral:rRNA from 1 species
UACGUAGGGGGCUAGCGUUGUCCGGAUUUAUUGGGCGUAAAGAGCUCGUAGGUGGUUCGGUAAGUCGGAUGUGAAAUCUCCAGGCUCAACCUGGAGGGGUCAUUCGAUACGGGCGGACUAGAGUUCGGUAGGGGAGACUGGAAUUCCUGGUGUAGCGGUGAAAUGCGCAGAUAUCAGGAGGAACACCGGUGGCGAAGGCGGGUCUCUGGGCCGAUACUGACGCUGAGGAGCGAAAGCGUGGGGAGCAAACAGG